rnacentral:rRNA from 1 species
UACAGAGGUGCUCAAGCGUUUGUUCGGAUUCAUUGGGGCGUAAAGGGUGCGUAGGUGGCGAGGUUAGUCAGGUGUGAAAUCUCGGGGCUCAACCCCGAAACUGCACUUGAUACUGCCUUGCUAGAGUACUGGAGAGGAGAUUGGAAUUUACGGUGUAGCAGUGAAAUGCGUAGAUAUCGUAAGGAAGACCAGUGGCGAAGGCGAAUCUCUGGACAGUUACUGACACUGAGGCAACGAAGGCCAGGGGAGCAAACGGG